rnacentral:rRNA from 1 species
UACGUGGGGUGCAAACGUUGCUCGGAAUUAUUGGGCGUAAAGCGCACGUAGGCGGUUCGUUAAGUCGGAUGUGAAAGCCCUCGGCUCAACUGAGGAAGUGCACCCGAAACUGGCGAGCUUGAGUACGAAAGAGGAUCGCGGAAUUCCCGGUGUAGAGGUGAAAUUCGUAGAUAUCGGGAGGAACACCGGUGGCGAAGGCGGCGAUCUGGGUCGAUACUGACGCUGAGGUGCGAAAGCGUGGGGAGCAAACAGG